GGGACCGGAGAAACCAGGGGAGCCCCCCGGGCAGCCGCGCGCCCCUUCCCACGGGGCCCUUUACUGCGCCGCGCGCCCGGCCCCCACCCCUCGCCGCACCCCGCGCCCCGCGCCCUCCCAGCCGGGUCCAGCCGGAGCCAUGGGGCCGGAGCCGCGGUGAGCACCAUGGAGCUGGCGGCCUUGUGCCGCUGGGGGCUCCUCCUCGCCCUCUUGCCCCCCGGAGCCGCGAGCACCCAAGUGUGCACCGGCACAGACAUGAAGCUGCGGCUCCCUGCCAGUCCCGAGACCCACCUGGACAUGCUCCGCCACCUCUACCAGGGCUGCCAGGUGGUGCAAGGAAACCUGGAACUCACCUACCUGCCCACCAAUGCCAGCCUCUCCUUCCUGCAGACAACUACCUUUCUACGGACGUGGGAUCCUGCACCCUCGUCUGCCCCCUGCACAACCAAGAGGUGACAGCAGAGGACGGAACACAGCGGUGUGAGAAGUGCAGCAAGCCCUGUGCCCGAGUGUGCUAUGGUCUGGGCAUGGAGCACUUGCGAGAGGUGAGGGCAGUCACCAGUGCCAAUAUCCAGGAGUUUGCUGGCUGCAAGAAGAUCUUUGGGAGCCUGGCAUUUCUGCCGGAGAGCUUUGAUGGGGACCCAGCCUCCAACACCGCCCCGCUCCAGCCAGAGCAGCUCCGAGUGUUUGAGACUCUGGAAGAGAUCACAGGUUACCUAUACAUCUCAGCAUGGCCAGACAGCCUGCCUGACCUCAGCGUCUUCCAGAACCUGCAAGUAAUCCGGGGACGAAUUCUGCACAAUGGCGCCUACUCGCUGACCCUGCAAGGGCUGGGCAUCAGCUGGCUGGGGCUGCGCUCGCUGCGGGAACUGGGCAGUGGACUGGCCCUCAUCCACCAUAACACCCGCCUCUGCUUCGUGCACACGGUGCCCUGGGACCAGCUCUUCCGGAACCCGCACCAAGCUCUGCUCCACACUGCCAACCGGCCAGAGGACGAGUGUGGUAAGACAGGGAGCCCAGUGUGUGCGCUCCCCAUCUGCCAGCACACAGCAGUGCCCAGGGGGCCCUGGCAGCAGCGUUCUUGGACUUGUGCAGACUGCCCAUCCCUGUGCACCCUUCUUGACUCAGCACAGCUCUGGCUGGCUUGGCCUCUUGGCAUGGCUUCUCUAGCUGGGUCCUACCUGCCUUGGCAUCCUUCCCUCCCCCUCUGUUUCUGAAAUCUCAGAACUCUUCCUUUCCCUACAUCGGCCCCACCUGUCCCCACCCCUCCAGCCCACAGCCAUGCCCACAGCCAGUUCCCUGGUUCACUUGGACCUGGGGCCUCCCCUAAAAGUCCCCUGCGGUCCCUUCCUCCUCACUGCAGUGGGCGAGGGCCUGGCCUGCCACCAGCUGUGCGCCCGAGGGCACUGCUGGGGUCCAGGGCCCACCCAGUGUGUCAACUGCAGCCAGUUCCUUCGGGGCCAGGAGUGCGUGGAGGAAUGCCGAGUACUGCAGGGGUAUGAGGGGCGGAGGAGAGGGGUGGCUGGAGGGGUGCAUGGGGCUCCUCUCAGACCCCCUCACCACUGUCCCUUCUCUCAGGCUCCCCAGGGAGUAUGUGAAUGCCAGGUACUGUUUGCCGUGCCACCCUGAGUGUCAGCCCCAGAAUGGCUCAGUGACCUGUUUUGGACCGGAGGCUGACCAGUGUGUGGCCUGUGCCCACUAUAAGGACCCUCCCUUCUGCGUGGCCCGCUGCCCCAGCGGUGUGAAACCUGACCUCUCCUACAUGCCCAUCUGGAAGUUUCCAGAUGAGGAGGGCACGUGCCAGCCUUGCCCCAUCAACUGCACCCACUCGUGAGUCCAAGGGUCUUUUCUGCAGAAAGGAGGACUUUCCUUUCAGGGGUCUUUCUGGGGCUCUUACUAUAAAAGGGGACCAACUCUCCCUUUGUCAUAUCUUGUUUCUGAUGACAAAAAUAAUACAUUGUUAAAAUUGUAAAAUUAAAACAUGAAAUACAAAUUAAUGCCCUAG
rnacentral:sRNA from 1 species